rnacentral:tRNA from 1 species
CGCGGAGUGGAGAAGUGGUAUCUCGUCGGGCUCAUAACCCGAAGACCGUUGGUUCAAUUCCAACCUCCGCAACCA